rnacentral:rRNA from 1 species
AUUGAACGCUGGCGGCAUGCUUUACACAUGCAAGUCGAACGGCAGCGGGGAGGAGCCUGCUUCUCUGCCGGCGAGUGGCGAACGGGUGAGUAAUACAUCGGAACGUGUCGAGAAGAGGGGGAUAACCACCCGAAAGGGUGGCUAAUACCGCAUAAAUUCUGAGGAAGAAAGCUGGGGACCUAGGAAUAGGCCUAGCGCUUUUUGAGCGGCCGAUGUCGGAUUAGCUAGUUGGUGAGGUAAAGGCUCACCAAGGCGAAGAUCUGUAGCGGGUCUGAGAGGAUGAUCCGCCACACUGGGACUGAGACACGGCCCAGACUCCUACGGGAGGCAGCAGUGGGGAAUUUUGGACAAUGGGGGCAACCCUGAUCCAGCCAUGCCGCGUGUAUGAAGAAGGCCUUAGGGUUGUAAAGUACUUUUGUUAGGGAAGAAAAGUCAGCUGUGAAUAAUGGCUGAUACUGACGGUACCUAAAGAAUAAGCACCGGCUAACUACGUG